AGGAGCCGUAUGAAGUGAAAAUCUCAUGUACGGUUCUGUAAUAGCGAUGAGAACAGUAAUGUUAUUGGCGACUAUAAU
rfam:Rhizobium yanglingense strain CCBAT 01603 genomic scaffold C333, whole genome shotgun sequence.